GAUGAACGCUGGCGGCGUGCCUAAUACAUGCAAGUCGAGCGAACAGAUGAGGAGCUUGCUCCUCUGACGUUAGCGGCGGACGGGUGAGUAACACGUGGAUAACCUACCUAUAAGACUGGGAUAACUUCGGGAAACCGGAGCUAAUACCGGAUAAUAUAUUGAACCGCAUGGUUCAAUAGUGAAAGACGGUUUUGCUGUCACUUAUAGAUGGAUCCGCGCCGCAUUAGCUAGUUGGUAAGGUAACGGCUUACCAAGGCAACGAUGCGUAGCCGACCUGAGAGGGGGAUCGGCCACACGGGAACUGAGACACGGUCCAGACUCCUACGGGAGGCAGCAGUAGGGAAUCUUCCGCAAUGGGCGAAAGCCUGACGGAGCAACGCCGCGUGAGUGAUGAAGGUCUUCGGAGCGUAAAACUCUGUUAUUAGGGAAGAACAAAUGUGUAAGUAACUAUGCACGUCUUGACGGUACCUAAUCAGAAAGCCACGGCUAACUACGUG
rnacentral:rRNA from 1 species